rnacentral:RNase_P_RNA from 1 species
GCUACAAACCCGGCUAUCGUCUCGAUUUAUCGGGAAGGAAAGUCCGGACAGCACAGAGUAAUGUACCGGUGAAGAGCCGGGUGUAAGGCUAUAAAUGCCAUGCAACAGAUAGUGCCACAGAAAAUAACUGUCCCGGCUGAAAAGUUGGGAUGAGGGUGAAAAUGUGAGGUAAGAGCUCACAGUCCCGCUAAGUAAUUAUCGGGACGGGUAAACCUUACAUGCUGAAAUGCCACGUAUAGUAAUGUUUGAAGGCUACUCGCCUGAAUCGCUGCAAGGCGUGCAUUACAGGGUGGGCAGAUUGAUUCUUAUGGGCAACUAUAAGAACAGAUAAAUGAUGGCCCGCAUCAGCAAUGAUGCGAACAGAAUCCGGCUUAUGGGUUUGUAGCUUUU